GGCAAAGAUGAAGAGUGCUUAUUCUGACACCUCUUGUAUGAGAAGAGCUUUAAUGGUUCUUCUUUGAGCAAAGUUAGCAACUCUCUGAGCC